UCUCAGGAAAGCGCCCCGGGCUGCAGCGCUGGGAUCUCACUGGGUUUAACAGCUGCGACAAAAGGAGAAACAGGGCAGCUGAUCAGAAACACUGGACACCGAGGACCGCGGCACUGUCCGCCUGACCACAGCGUGCGGAGAUGCAGCUGUAGAGCAGCUCUGGGCCUGGAGGCCUGGUGUCCAGCAGUCUGGAGGAUCCCUCCUCAAACACACCCUCGACCUGACCGCUCACAGAAGACUGUAACCAGGUGUUCUGGGCCUGGUAAAUCACCGACCUGUGCUGGACAGGACACAGAGCUGUGCACCCCUGAUCUAGAGCCUUUCCGAGCCAUUGUUGUGUCCCUAGCAUUUACAGAUCUAUUAUAUUUGAAUAACAUGUCUGGGUUACAACUUAUUAAUACGUUACAAUAAAACAACACACUAUUUUAACAAUUA